GUGUCUGCGGAGGCUGACGAGCAGACGACCCCCAGCAGAACUUUGACCCACAACAGGCUGAAAAAGUGAGAGUGAACGUGUUUUUCACAUUUUGGGCGGCUCGGCCGGGAUGUAACACCUCGCUUCCAAGACCCCAGAGGACGCAGAGCGGGGGGCACGCCCCGCCCGAGUUCGUCGGCCUCACUCACUUCUUCUGGUGUGGAUCGGCGGUUGCAGGUAGAACACCCAGUGGACAAAAGGAGACACAUAAAGCAAAGAAAAGGGGAAAGGCUCCCUAAACCACCUUAGCCCCACAAAUUCUUGUGCAUGAAGACCCGAAGAAAAAAAUAGUAUUGGUCCUUUUCAGGUACUACUGACAACUGAGGCAGCAAUCCAGACCAGGGAACAAGGGUGGAUCCACACCAGCAGAAUCAAAGGACCUGUGGAAGAACCUAAGGAAUGGACUAUAACAUCUAAACCGGGUGAUACCAAAUUGACUCUCAAGUGGGGACCAGGUGGUAAUGAACUGGGAGGACCCAAAUGAUCCAAGGAAUGUACAAAGAAUUACACUUAAUUGGGAAAUAAGGUCAAGCGUAUAUCAGUGGUUUCAAGUGCCGCCUGGAUAAGUCCUGAGACACCUCCAAUACCCUCCUUGGGGAGGAAUACUUCCACUUCAAACAGGAAGAUCAGGACUGUUUUGGACAGAGUUCUCGUAUUCUGACCUUAGCCUGUGACUUAUACAAAGAAGAGGAGGAAUUACAACUUCCAUCAGUGCCAUAUCAAAUACCUUGUUUGAUUCAUCCAAAUACCAGACAUGCUAACUGGGUUAAAUGUAAAUGUUUAAAUUGUGGGAAAAAUUGGUAUUGUAGUUCACACAAUCAACACUCUCCUUGCAGGAAGUGUCGAGUGCCAAAUCUAUCUUCUAUCCAGAUAGAACUCAAAACAACUGAAAUAUUAACUUUGUUUUGUGGAUGGGAAUUAUUAGUGCCUGUUGAAUGGAAAAUACAGUUAAGGAGUGUCAAAAACAAUUUGCCUGGAAAUUAGCAAAAAGGAAGUGACAAGGAAAAAGAGGGCAAGACUGGAUUGGCUGCUGUACUCUCCACCGAGAAGAUCAUAUACACCUGCUAUGGGUAGCAACCCCAUAGGUAUGGGAGGUGGGGGCAUAAGCCAUACGGGACCUCUGUUAUUCCUUUUUCUGUCACUCAUCUUUUGUCUUUUCCCUUUCAGGAUACCGGCAAAGUCAUGUCAUACAUGUUACCUAAAGCUGUAUAUGGAAAGACACCAAGGUUCCUUUUUUAUUACACACACCCAUAUCAACAGUCACUAUUAUAACCCAUCCAAAUUAGGCAAUUGUAUACAAAAUGGGAAAAAGUACUGGAUUGCGGAGAAUUUAGGAACAAGCGGUAACAGGUUGGGAAGUAAAUGUCCUAAAGGAGAGAGAUGGGUUUGUUUCACUUUUUCUAGUGGGAGUAAGGUCCAAGAUUUGGUUAAAGAACAACUGGUAAGCAGAAAGGCAAAACUAGUACAGCAAUCAAAAUCUGUGCCAAUUUCACUUCAAGAUUUCUAUACAAAACUUGAACAGCAAUUAGAAAAGGAAAUAGAUAUCUCAAGACUGGGGAAAAAUCUGUUUGUGGAAUUAGGGGAAAGAGUAAGUAAGGAACUUAACCUACUGUUGGGUUUGUGGGGGAGCUUUGAUGUCCAAAGAAUGGCCAUGGAAAGGCAGUAGCUUAGGUUCAGUUGAACUCCUUAAGUAGAACCAGGCAAAUACAAGGGGGGAAAACUGACCUGAAUGGUGGAUUUUAAGCUCAGCAGUGAUAGGAGAGGAAUGUCUCUGGCGCACUGGGAAAAAUUUUCAUAAUGAAGUAGGAAAUACUCCCUGUAAGAGAUAUAAAGUUAGCAAUGGAACUUCUACAUGGUGAAUCCCAGAGGAACCAACUCAGUAUUGGACUUGAGGAGAAAUGAAAAAGAGGAAUUUAAAUAUAAUAAUGAAAUUGGACUUUUUCAAUGUAAUUAUAUAGGCAAAAAUCCUUAUUCUGGGAUCCCAGAAAUAUCCAAAUUUUGUGUGAAUAUAAAUCAACAGAAAAAUUAUUAUUAGAAGGCACCAGGUGGCUUAUUUUGGAUAUGUGGAAAGAAAGCAUACCCAAGACUCCCCUCUAGUUGGAGAGGGAGUUGCACUUUGGGAAUUAUACAACCAGGAUUCUUUCUUCUACCAGGACCAAAUGGAGAUCAAUUAGGAAUACCAAUUUAUGAGGACCUAAAAAGAAAUAAAAGGGACUUGAUUGGGGGAUCCCAAAAAUGGGGAGAUGAGGAGUGGUCCCAAGAAUGCAUACUGGAAACAUAUGGGCCAACCACCUGGGCACCAGAUGGGAAUUGGGGAUAUCAGACCCCAAUUUAUAUGCUGAAUCGUAUUAUAAGACUCCAAGCAGUUGUAGAAAUAAUAACAGAACUGGUUGGGCAAUAGAAUUAAUAUCAAAGCAACAAACCCAAACAAGAGCUGCCAUGUAUCAGAAUAGGUUGGCCUUAGACUAUUUAUUAGCUGAAGAAGGGGGUGUUUGUAGAAAAUUUAAUACAUCAGAUUGUUGUUUCAAAAUAGAUGACAACGGAGAUGCCGUCCUAGAUAUAGUCAAUGAUAUCAGAAAAAUAGCCCAUGUACCGGUGCAAAAGUGGGAAUCAAUGCUAAAAACUAGCUGGUGGCAUAACGUAUUGGGAACAGAAUGGAGGAAGAAACUAGGCUUCUUCCUUUUAUGUGCUACAGCUGGUUUGAUAUUUCUUCCCUGCUUGAUCCCCUGCUUUAUUCGGCUAAUCACCAGUAUAGUCUGGGGCAUGCAAGUGGUAACAAUGCCUAUAGACCCAAAAUUGACUAUGUCUGGGACUGCACAAAAGAUUAUGGUGUUAAAGAAACAAAAUAAUAUGGAAGACCCCUUGGAGGAAGGAAAAAUUAUUUAUGAAAAAAAUAAGCAAAUAAUGGAGGAUGGAAAACAAGAAAUACUGUUCAAGCCAAAUGAUUUGUAAAAAGGGAAGAGGAGAGAUUGUUAUAAAUACAUAUUAUUUUGUUAGCUUUUCACAAAUAUUAGGAUGAAUGUUAUAUGUAUAAUGUUAAAAUAACUUUGCUUUUAUUUCUGCUAUUAACAAAAACUUAGACAUAGUAGUAGGGGUAGCUGAUAUAGUUAUAAGUGAACUGUCUGUUUGGUCAGGAUAACAUCCACUGAACAUGUAAUGAAGACCCUGCUAUUGAUAUGCCAACUAUCAGCAUCUGCCAUCUGAAGAAAGCAUGGACCAAGGCCCAAACUGGAAGUGAUAAGAAGGAGCCAAAACCACAGCCAAAAAACACGCAUGCUCUAAAAAGGUGGACCCAAGGAGGGGCCAUGUAAAAUAGUUCCUGGAAAAUGUAAACUAGUUUAUGCAUAUGCAUAAUGGUAUAUGAAUAUGCAACAGGCUGAUGUAAUGGAAAAGGUAU